rnacentral:misc_RNA from 1 species
GAUGAAGAACGUAGCAAAAUGCGAUAAGUAAUGUGAAUUGCAGAAUUCAGUGAAUCAUCGAAUCUUUGAACGCACAUUGCGCCCGCCAGUAUUCUGGCGGGCAUGCCUGUUCGAGCGUCAUUUCAACCCUCAAGCCCUCGGGUUUGGUGUUGGGGAUCGGCGAGCCUUUCUGGCAAGCCGGCCCCGAAAUCUAGUGGCGGUCUCGCUGCAGCCUCCAUUGCGUAGUAGUAAAACCCUCGCAACUGGAACGCGGCGCGGCCAAGCCGUUAAACCCCCAACUUCUGAAUGUUGACCUCGGAUCAGGUAUGAAUACCCGCUGAACUUAAGCAUAUCAAUAAGCGGAGGA